rnacentral:rRNA from 1 species
GACGAACGCUGGCGGCGUGCUUAACACAUGCAAGUCGAACGGAAAGGCCCUGCUUUUGUGGGGUGCUCGAGUGGCGAACGGGUGAGUAACACGUGAGUAACCUGCCCUUGACAUUGGGAUAACUUCAGGAAACUGGGGCUAAUACCGGAUAGGAGCUCCUGCUGCAUGGUGGGGGUUGGAAAGUUUCGGCGGUUGGGGAUGGACUCGCGGCUUAUCAGCUUGUUGGUGGGGUAGUGGCUUACCAAGGCUUUGACGGGUAGCCGGCCUGAGGGGGAGACCGGCCACAUGGGGACUGAAAUACGGCACAGACUCCUACGGAAGCAGCAGUGGGGAAUAUUGCACAAUGGGAGGAAGCCUGAUGCAGCAACGCCGCGUGCGGGAUGACGGCCUUCGGGUUGUAAACCGCUUUCGCCUGUGACGAAGCGUGAGUGACGGUAAUGGGUAAAGAAGCACCAGCUAACUACGUGCCAGCAGCCGCCGUAAAA